GGAUGAUCAGCCACACUGCCACUGGAACACGGUCCAGACUCCUACGGGAGGCAGCAGUGAGGAAUUUUGCGCAAUGGGGGAAACCCUGACGCAGCAACGCCGCGUGAGUGAAGAAGGCUCUUGGGUCGUAAAGCUCUGUCAACUGGGAAGAAAUUAGUAAUGUUUAAUAGAUGUUGCUAUUGACGGUACCAGUGGAGGAAGCGCCGGCUAACUCCGUGCCAGCAGCCGCGGUAACACGGGGGGCGCAAGCGUUAUUCGGAAUUAUUGGGCGUAAAGGGCGCGUAGGCGGUCUUGUCGGUCAGGUGUGAAAGCCCGGGGCUCAACCCUGGAAGUGCACUUGAAACAGCAAGACUUGAGUACUGGAGAGGAAAGCGGAAUUCCUGGUGUAGAGGUGAAAUUCGUAGAUAUCAGGAGGAACACCGAUGGCGAAGGCAGCUUUCUGGACAGAUACUGACGCUGAGGCGCGAAGGCGUGGGUAGCGAACGGGAUUAGAUACCCCGGUAGUCCACGCAGUAAACGUUGUACACUCGGUGUGCCGGAUAUUAAAAUCUGGUGUGCCCAAGUUAACACAUUAAGUGUACCGCCUGGGGAGUACGGUCGCAAGACUAAAACUCAAAGGAAUUGACGGGGGCCCGCACAAGCGGUGGAGCAUGUGGUUUAAUUCGACGCAACGCGAAGAACCUUACCUGGGUUUGACAUCCUGUGAAUAUUGCGUAAUUGCAAUAGUGCCUUCGGGAGCACAGUGACAGGUGCUGCACGGCUGUCGUCAGCUCGUGUCGUGAGAUGUUUGGUUAAGUCCAGCAACGAGCGCAACCCUCAUCUUUAGUUGCCAGCGCGUAAUGGCGGGAACUCUAGAGAGACUGCCCGGGUUAACCGGGAGGAAGGCGGGGAUGACGUCAAGUCCUCAUGGCCCUUAUAUCCAGGGCUACACACGUGCUACAAUGGUAAAUACAGAGGGCAGCGAGCCGGUGACGGCGAGCGAAUCCCUAAAGUUUAUCUCAGUCCGGAUUGGAGUCUGCAACUCGACUCCAUGAAGUUGGAAUCGCUAGUAAUCGCGGAUCAGCAUGCCGCGGUGAAUAUGUUCCCGGGCCUUGUACACACCGCCCGUCACACCAUGGGAGUUGAUUAUACCCGACGUCGCUGGGCUAACCCUUCGGGGGGGCAGGCGCCUAAGGUAUGGUUGAUAACUGGGGUGAAGUCGGAACAAGGUA
rnacentral:rRNA from 1 species